rnacentral:rRNA from 1 species
UACGUAGGCAGCGAGCGUUGUUCGGAGUUACUGGGCGUAAAGCGUGCGCAGGCGGUUUUGUAAGUCUGUCGUGAAAGCCCCGGGCUCAACCUGGGAAUUGCGAUGGAGACUGCAAGGCUUGAAUCUGGCAGAGGGGGGUAGAAUUCCACGUGUAGCAGUGAAAUGCGUAGAGAUGUGGAGGAACACCGAUGGCGAAGGCAGCCCCCUGGGUCAAGAUUGACGCUCAUGCACGAAAGCGUGGGGAGCAAACAGG